rnacentral:rRNA from 1 species
UACGAAGGGGGGCUAGCGUUGCUCGGAAUUACUGGGCGUAAAGGGCGCGUAGGCGGAUAUUUAAGUCGGGGGUGAAAGCCCAGGGCUCAACCCUGGAACAGCCUUCGAUACUGGAUAUCUUGAGUACGGGAGAGGUGUGUGGAACUCCGAGUGUAGAGGUGAAAUUCGUAGAUAUUCGGAAGAACACCAGUGGCGAAGGCGACACACUGGCCCGUUACUGACGCUGAGGCGCGAAAGCGUGGGGAGCAAACAGG